rnacentral:lncRNA from 1 species
UUUUUUUGCACGGUGCAAAAUCCACUGGUUAUUUAUUUCAGUUUGACGGAGUAUUUUUUUUCUGCUGUACAAUAGAACCAUCUUUUACAUUUCAUUUCCAUGCCAACAUAAAAAAAAAGGAAACAAACGAACAAAACUAUUCAGGAAAAAAGGGAAAUAAUGUAGAGCUAUCCCAGUUUACUUUUUUUUUUUUGAAAUGGCUAUCGCAGUUUACUACUGUAUAGUGCAUGUUUCUCUGGACCGUCUGAUGAGACCCUCCCAAGAGUUUCUCAGAAUCACAAAGCUACGCGGCUAUUGUCUGAC